GGGUUGUGAGGUUAAGCGACUAAGCGUACACGGUGGAUGCCCUGGCAGUCAGAGGCGAUGAAGGACGUGCUAAUCUGCGAUAAGCGUCGGUAAGGUGAUAUGAACCGUUAUAACCGGCGAUUUCCGAAUGGGGAAACCCAGUGUGAUUCGUCACACUAUCAUUAACUGAAUCCAUAGGUUAAUGAGGCGAACCGGGGGAACUGAAACAUCUAAGUACCCCGAGGAAAAGAAAUCAACCGAGAUUCCCCCAGUAGCGGCGAGCGAACGGGGAGCAGCCCAGAGCCUGAAUCAGUGUGUGUGUUAGUGGAAGCGUCUGGAAAGGCGCGCGAUACAGGGUGACAGCCCCGUACACAAAAAUGCACAUACUGUGAGCUCGAUGAGUAGGGCGGGACACGUGGUAUCCUGUCUGAAUAUGGGGGGACCAUCCUCCAAGGCUAAAUACUCCUGACUGACCGAUAGUGAACCAGUACCGUGAGGGAAAGGCGAAAAGAACCCCGGCGAGGGGAGUGAAAAAGAACCUGAAACCGUGUACGUACAAGCAGUGGGAGCACGCUUAGGCGUGUGACUGCGUACCUUUUGUAUAAUGGGUCAGCGACUUAUAUUCUGUAGCAAGGUUAACCGAAUAGGGGAGCCGAAGGGAAACCGAGUCUUAACUGGGCGUUAAGUUGCAGGGUAUAGACCCGAAACCCGGUGAUCUAGCCAUGGGCAGGUUGAAGGUUGGGUAACACUAACUGGAGGACCGAACCGACUAAUGUUGAAAAAUUAGCGGAUGACUUGUGGCUGGGGGUGAAAGGCCAAUCAAACCGGGAGAUAGCUGGUUCUCCCCGAAAGCUAUUUAGGUAGCGCCUCGUGAAUUCAUCUCCGGGGGUAGAGCACUGUUUCGGCAAGGGGGUCAUCCCGACUUACCAACCCGAUGCAAACUGCGAAUACCGGAGAAUGUUAUCACGGGAGACACACGGCGGGUGCUAACGUCCGUCGUGAAGAGGGAAACAACCCAGACCGCCAGCUAAGGUCCCAAAGUCAUGGUUAAGUGGGAAACGAUGUGGGAAGGCCCAGACAGCCAGGAUGUUGGCUUAGAAGCAGCCAUCAUUUAAAGAAAGCGUAAUAGCUCACUGGUCGAGUCGGCCUGCGCGGAAGAUGUAACGGGGCUAAACCAUGCACCGAAGCUGCGGCAGCGACGCUUAUGCGUUGUUGGGUAGGGGAGCGUUCUGUAAGCCUGCGAAGGUGUGCUGUGAGGCAUGCUGGAGGUAUCAGAAGUGCGAAUGCUGACAUAAGUAACGAUAAAGCGGGUGAAAAGCCCGCUCGCCGGAAGACCAAGGGUUCCUGUCCAACGUUAAUCGGGGCAGGGUGAGUCGACCCCUAAGGCGAGGCCGAAAGGCGUAGUCGAUGGGAAACAGGUUAAUAUUCCUGUACUUGGUGUUACUGCGAAGGGGGGACGGAGAAGGCUAUGUUGGCCGGGCGACGGUUGUCCCGGUUUAAGCGUGUAGGCUGGUUUUCCAGGCAAAUCCGGAAAAUCAAGGCUGAGGCGUGAUGACGAGGCACUACGGUGCUGAAGCAACAAAUGCCCUGCUUCCAGGAAAAGCCUCUAAGCAUCAGGUAACAUCAAAUCGUACCCCAAACCGACACAGGUGGUCAGGUAGAGAAUACCAAGGCGCUUGAGAGAACUCGGGUGAAGGAACUAGGCAAAAUGGUGCCGUAACUUCGGGAGAAGGCACGCUGAUAUGUAGGUGAAGUCCCUCGCGGAUGGAGCUGAAAUCAGUCGAAGAUACCAGCUGGCUGCAACUGUUUAUUAAAAACACAGCACUGUGCAAACACGAAAGUGGACGUAUACGGUGUGACGCCUGCCCGGUGCCGGAAGGUUAAUUGAUGGGGUCAGCGCAAGCGAAGCUCUUGAUCGAAGCCCCGGUAAACGGCGGCCGUAACUAUAACGGUCCUAAGGUAGCGAAAUUCCUUGUCGGGUAAGUUCCGACCUGCACGAAUGGCGUAAUGAUGGCCAGGCUGUCUCCACCCGAGACUCAGUGAAAUUGAACUCGCUGUGAAGAUGCAGUGUACCCGCGGCAAGACGGAAAGACCCCGUGAACCUUUACUAUAGCUUGACACUGAACAUUGAGCCUUGAUGUGUAGGAUAGGUGGGAGGCUUUGAAGUGUGGACGCCAGUCUGCAUGGAGCCGACCUUGAAAUACCACCCUUUAAUGUUUGAUGUUCUAACGUUGACCCGUAAUCCGGGUUGCGGACAGUGUCUGGUGGGUAGUUUGACUGGGGCGGUCUCCUCCUAAAGAGUAACGGAGGAGCACGAAGGUUGGCUAAUCCUGGUCGGACAUCAGGAGGUUAGUGCAAUGGCAUAAGCCAGCUUGACUGCGAGCGUGACGGCGCGAGCAGGUGCGAAAGCAGGUCAUAGUGAUCCGGUGGUUCUGAAUGGAAGGGCCAUCGCUCAACGGAUAAAAGGUACUCCGGGGAUAACAGGCUGAUACCGCCCAAGAGUUCAUAUCGACGGCGGUGUUUGGCACCUCGAUGUCGGCUCAUCACAUCCUGGGGCUGAAGUAGGUCCCAAGGGUAUGGCUGUUCGCCAUUUAAAGUGGUACGCGAGCUGGGUUUAGAACGUCGUGAGACAGUUCGGUCCCUAUCUGCCGUGGGCGCUGGAGAACUGAGGGGGGCUGCUCCUAGUACGAGAGGACCGGAGUGGACGCAUCACUGGUGUUCGGGUUGUCAUGCCAAUGGCACUGCCCGGUAGCUAAAUGCGGAAGAGAUAAGUGCUGAAAGCAUCUAAGCACGAAACUUGCCCCGAGAUGAGUUCUCCCUGACUCCUUGAGAGUCCUGAAGGAACGUUGAAGACGACGACGUUGAUAGGCCGGGUGUGUAAGCGCAGCGAUGCGUUGAGCUAACCGGUACUAAUGAACCGUGAGGCUUAACCUUACAACGCCGAAG
rnacentral:rRNA from 1 species